UCAUGCAGUGUUCCGUGGUACCAUUGAAUGGAACACGAUUGCUAAGCUCUCUCUGCUAUGUCACUAUGACCCUUAAAAGCAGAGGUCUUCUCUGGCUGGUAGCAAAUCGAAACGGCAGGGAGAAAACAAAGCAUUAGGAAGAGCUGAACCACUGUGGUCGGCUCUGAAGGUGGAACAGGUCAAGGGCAAGGACCACCAGCCUAUCACAAAGGAUGAGAUGGCACAGGUCAAGGGCAAGGACCACCAGCCUAUCACAAAGAAUGAGAUGGCACAGGUCAAGGGCAAGGACCACCAGCCUAUCACAAAGGAUGAGAUGGCACAGGUCAAGGGCAAGGACCACCAGCCUAUCACAAAGAAUGAGAUGGCACAGGUCAAGGGCAAGGACCACCAGCCUAUCACAAAGAAUGAGAUGGCACAGGUCAAGGGCAAGGACCACCAACCUAUCACAAAGAAUGAGAUGGCACAGGUCAAGGGCAAGGACCACCAACCUAUCAUCAUAAGACUGUUUCCUGGAUGAUGGCUGAGUAAGGAACAGAAUCUACCAACAAUACGAAGGCGCUCCAAAGGAGAUCUCUUAGCCAGACAGGUAGCCAAUCCUGAUUGUAAUCUUGUGAGAGAUGAAGUCAUGUCCCCCUAGAUCUCUGACCUUCAGAACAAAAUGCGUGCUGCUCAGCUCUAAGCUUAAGGUAGUUUAUACAGAGUAGUAGAAAAUGAUACAUACUCUGUUCACAAAGAGGUUGAAAAGCCACACACUAUUAAUUUAUGCAUAUAUUUCUAUUUAUUAAAAAAAAAUAAAUCCUAGAACCCAGGAGGCAGAGGGUGGCAGAUUGCAGUAAGUUUAGGGUCAGCCUGGUCUAUGUAGUGACUUAAAAGGCAUCUGAGGCUACAAAUAGGGGUCAUGUUUCAAAAAAUAAAACAAAACAAAAAUAGACUUUAAACUUCUUUGCCCCCCUCCCUUCAUUUCUCUUUCUUUUCUGUUUGUAUCUGCCUGUCUGUCUGUCUGUCUACCUACCUACCUACUAUCUACCUAUCAUCUAUCUAUCUAUCUAUCUAUCUAUCUAUCUAUCUAUCUAUCUAUCUAUCUAUCUACCUAUCAUAUCAGGGCAUCCCUGCAUUUGAUAUUCUCCUCCUUCAGCUUCUCGAAUGCUGUGAACAUAAGAUUGUACCACCAUACCUGAUCUAAUAUUUUUUCUAAAAUGUAGACGACUUGAUUAAUGUUUCAGAGUAUUCCUUUUUGUCCCUAAAAUGGUCAACUAACUUUUGGAUAGACUUCUUAUUUGAAUUCUCUGGGGUCACUGGGCAGGAGACAUGUAAACUUUAUAACAACCACAGAGGGGACAGGCUGACUUGUACGCCCGAAACAAAUGUGUACUCAGAAGCAAAGCGUUCUCAGGCUGGGCAGGCAGCAGAAAUGAGCAAGGAAUGUAGGCCGAAGGCAGCAAGGAGCCAUGAGGAGUUUGUCAAUCGGAGAGGAGCCUCCCCAGAUAAAAGGGAGCAGCGGCUUUCACUUUUAGCUCAAUGCUGUUUUGAACUGACACUGUCCAUCAAUCAAAUGUUUGCCGAGAACUAGAUAUCGAUCUAUAUUUUGGAACUAGAGUUGCACACAAAAUAAGUGGUUUUAUUUUUUUUCUCACGGAGCAUCUUUCAGGCGAGUAAUUUAUUCUGAGUUUUUUCCAAAGGAAGCUAGAAAUCCAGAUUGUUAUCCCAAUUAAGCAUCUCCUUUUAAAAAGAAAGGAAAAAUAUGUUGGUUGGGAUUAAACACCAUCUCAUGGGAGGCCAAACAAGUUCACCGUCAUUGCAAGUUUGCUGCCCUAUUGGAGAACAAGCCUUAUCAGUGUGAAACGAUAUUAAAAGCCCACCCUCCACCACGCUGAUUUGACAUGCUGGGGAAAGUCUACAAAUGAGGAGACAAGACAAUGAAGCAUUCGUAUUAUUUAAGACAUGGAUUCCUAGAGCAGAAAAAUGGCGGCUUUAUCUUUUUUUUUUUUUUUCUCACAAGAUCAAGGCCCUGGUUAGCCUUGAGCUCGGGGUAGAGGAACCCAGUCUGGUGACAUCUCUGAAGCGCAGCCACAGGCCAUUGAAUCCCUCCUCUCUUUCCCUCCCCAACAAAGGGUCAACAUGUACUUUUGUGAUUACUAAAAGUGACCAAUAUUAAAGUUUUCUAGACAUAGCAUUUUAUAGAAAUCAAGGGAGAGGGCAAAUUGUUGACCAGGUCUCUAGCCAACUUUUCCUUUAUUAACAUUUUAUUUUUAGGGAGGAAAAAAAAAAAAGAAAAAGAAAAUAAACCCCCAAGUCUGGCAGGCUCUCGUUCCCAGGGCUCUUUGGAAGCUAGAGCUGUGUAAUUGCUAGACUCUCUCGGGAGCUUGCUGGAAGGAGUGGGAGGUGGCCAGCCAAGUCAAUCUCCCUGAACAGGGACAGAACAGGGUUGGGAGGAGGAGGAGAAACGGUUUUCCUGGCCCAGCUGGGUUUGGGGAAUGAGGUAGCAUUUUCUUAAGUGAUGGCAAAUAGAUGAUAGCUACAGACAAAGUUGGGGACACAGCUAGGGGGCACAGCAUCCAGAUUGGAACUUCCAUGAAUGGCAAAUUGGGUGCAUCCUUAGUUUACACUGCGUCUACACAGUUCACUCUCAGGUGAGGGAUCCAGGCUUCUCUGGCUGGCCAUUCUGGCCCUUGCCAGAGAUGGAGUCUCAUUUUUCUUGGGGGGCAGGGGGAGGUACUGCUGUUCAGGAGGAAGACAGGAUGCUGCUGUGAUGUUGCGAUCGAUCGAGGUAAAGCUGCAAGGAGAAAUUUACUUCUUGCGGAGGCUUAUCUUGAGCGCUCUCUGCUUCUGAGUAGCCAGCCAGUGGGGAGGAGCGGUGGAGGGAUGGCUUAGACAGGUAACAUGGAGUUGGCCAACACUCAGCCAAGUUCCAAGUAUUUACACCACGGCAAUUGGCAAACGUUACAAGUUAGAUCAUUUUCACCCUCAGAGAAGCCGUCUGCCCAGAUCUAGCCUGUCUGUAGGUGGUUGGGUGCUUACAAAAAUAAAAAUGGUAAAUAUACGGAAAAUCUAUUUGCUUCUCCAACCCUGCUUAUCAGGCUUUGGGGGAGGGGAAAGCAAAAUUCUAACAGAGUCGCUCAACAGGGCAGCAGUAAAUAAGAGAGCUUGUACUGUAGCUGGGUAUGACAUAGCUAAGCUGACCAGAUAAGAGAAAUGGCAGGACUUGGGGAAAACGAUCAAGCUGGCUUUGGCAGGUUCCCGUGGUCACCGAUAAGACCUUCCUGAGGAAUACAUGCAAGGUACAUGGCCCUCUUACUUAUUCUUGCAUCUAAGGCAUUUAAUUGCAACAGAUUAAGUUAUGCAUAAGGAUAGAUUAUAAAAGGAGCCUCUACCUAUUCCAGGAAGGGACCAUCCCAGACCACCUUAUAGACAAGGAGCCCUCUGUGAGGUAACUGAGGAAGACUGUAGGGUGUCUUGGUAACUGUGUUUCCCGAUGAUCAGAAUACCCCUUUAUGGCUAAACAUCCUUGAAGCUUCUGAUACAUCAGAAACUAAGGUGCCAGGGCAUCCUCCCAUACCUGUGUAUUAAUGAGGUCUGCAUCCUCAAAGGACAUGGGCGACAAGAUAACACCCCUUGCUUUGUGGUUUUGCAGAGCAGUUCUUUUGUGUCAAUCACAGGAAGAAACACCCUACAAGGGAGAUCCAGUCCACCAUGAUUUUGAAAAGAAGCCACACUGUUUAAGCAGCCAUGAUGUCAGAUGUAACAUGGCAGAGAAGCAGCCUCAUGGUGGUGGUGGUGGUGGCUUUGGAGGGAGGGUUUAAGGAAGCCCAAAGUACCAGAGGAAGCAGACGUAGAGUUAGCAUCUGAAAGAAUAUCACUCUAUUUUAAAUGGUUAUAUAAAACCCUGUUCAUAAGGGAUGGAGAUCUGUGUAGCAGGGUGUAAGAUCACAAGAGGACUCCUGAUUUUGAAGCUAACUUUAGUUGGAAGGGAAAAAGUACUCAGCACGGAAUUGAAGCACCAAGUACUAAACACUCUGCAUAAGGUUUCUGCCCACAUCAAUAAAAUACCUUAGUUACAAGUCCCAUGACCUUGAGCUGGAAAAGCCACCCUGUGUUCCUUUCUCUAGGCAAAGAUGAAGUUUCCAUGGAAAAUGUUCCCCCAAAAGAACGGCAUCCCUUUUGGGUAAAAAGCACUGUAAAAUGUUGGAUUUUUUUUUUAACUUACUUAGUUUUGAAUCGAAAACAUGUUGACAUAAUUCAGAACUUUAAAUCUCAGAGAUUUCUUCGAAUUCCUGUUCCCUGGAGGCAAAUGAUGUUGCCCAGCUAUAUACAGUUUUUCAUCUUUAUUUCUAAAUAUGUGGGGCUAUAAGACCUACACAAAGCAUUCGUUCUUCUCACCAAAAGACCUUGGCAAAUUUUCAAUUCCAUAUAUAGAAGUCUAUCUUUUUUUUUUUUUUUGAUAGGGCCUUGCUGUAAUAGUCAAGGUAGGGCUGGAAGGUACAGUCUUCUGCUUAGACCUCCUGAGUGCUGUAAUUACAGGCAUACACCAUGGUCCCUGACUUCUCUAUUUAGAAUAUUUUUUAAGACUAGGUUACAGUCUAGUGUGUGCAAAUCAUGUAAUUAACCUGCAUUGGUGUGCUGGUUAGUGUUAAAUACCAACUCGCCACAGCCUAGAAUUAUCCGGGAAGAGAGUCUCUACGGAGGAGUGUUCAGGAUCAGGUUGGCCUGUGGACAUGUCUAUGGGAGUUUGUCUUGAUUGUUAAUUGAGGUGGGAGAACCCACCCUUACUGUGGGUGUGACCAUUUCAUUGGGUUGGACCCUGCAUUGUCUAAGACUAGAGAAAAGUGGCUAAGAGCUAAGCAAGGAAGCAGGCAGCGUGGUUCUUGCUCUUGGCGGCUCUUGGCUGUGGAUGGGCUGUGCCCAUCUGCCUCAAGUACCUGCUGCUAUGUUUUACCUGCAACCAUGGACUGUAACCUGGAAUUGUGAGCCUUGCAAACGCUUUUCUUCCCUAAGAUGUUUUUGCUCAGGGUGUUUUAUAACAGCACCAGAAAGGAAACCAACACAUUCGGUGUGGGUGUUUGUGACCCUCCAGAUGCAUAGGUUGAAACCAGUUCUCCAAGGGUGGGGUCUUACAAGGUGAUCAGUUUGGGGAUAGGUGGGUGGAGCUCUCAGGACUGGGAUUAAUACUCAUAAAAAAAAGACCCCAGAGAGCUAGUCUGCCCACCCCUACCACCAUACUGAAGACACCGUGAAGCAGUAUUUUUUAUGAUCCACUUGACCUUAGAUUUCCCAAACAUUCAGAACUCUGAGAAAUAAACAUUGUUGUGUGUAAACCCUCCAUCCUAUAGCGUUUUAUUGCAAUAACCUAACCCUAAAAUUCCGAGUUGUUUGACAAGCAGUGUCCCCAUGGGUGAGAGUGCAUCUGUGUGAUAAAUUUCUAGAGAGGUGACAUAGUGGUGGAUAAAGGCAAGUAGGUCUUUGUUAGAAAUUCCUCAUCUCUGCUACUCAAGGUGCGGGACUGUGUUCAACACAAGUGUUCUUUGCCUUUUUGAUCCUUGCCAGCUUAAUAAGUCAACAGUGGUACCUUGGUAUGUUCUGAAUCUGCACACCCAUAUUGUUAUAAGUGAAGUUGCCUUUUUACCUCUUCUCAAGAGACAUUAGUAUUUCUUUGACUAUUUUGUAGUGGGUUGUGAAUCUUUUCCCCAUUGUUUUUUGUAUGAUUAAAACUAUUAUUUCUAUGAUUUACAAAUAAUAUAGCCCAGGCUGUAUGAUACUCUAUCAUGGGAGGAAGGAGGAAGAGACUAUAAACGAGAAGAUGCUGGUAGCCAGAAAGCCCUCCCUAUAUUUGUCACCGUUGGGAGAAAGGUAAUUAGAGAGCAAGAUGUCGCCAGAUGGCCCAGUGACAUCUUUUGUCUAUCUUAAUAUGGCUGGCAUGCUUGAACUUCUUGUCUCUUUCAAUGAAACACCUUCCUCCCACAGACUUGGGUGGGAUUUCUGUCUGCUGCCCUUCGAAAGACUCAGAUCUUCCUCAUAUGUCACAGAAGAGAAUCAGAGACAAUGUCAGCUCCUUUUUUACAUUGCUCAUACAUGGUAGGGCAGAGCUGGCCACGUCUUUUGCCUUACAAUGUCCAAGCAAGGGUCUGAAACUCAUUUGUCACAUCCACAAUUAUUAAGGGCCUUUCCCCACUUGUUUCCUCUUUUACUUUCGUCAAGACCGGGUCUUGCCACAUAACCUAGUCUGGCCUCAAAUUUCUGAUUUUUCUUCUAAGCACUGGUAUCACAGGUAUGAGCCACCAAGCCCAGCUUUGCCCUUUUUGGUUUUUUUGUUUUUUUAAUCAAAGUCACUUCCUUAUUCUUCUCUUAUGUGCAAGUGAUCAUGGGAGGUGCCAGUCCCAUCAGUCAUAGCACCAUGGCUGCAUAAUUAAUCCUUGUUUCAUCUCUAGACUAAAUUAUAGUCAUUGCUCUUUUCUUCCUUGACAAUCCUUUCCUUGGGAAAGGACCUAAGACUCCAGGCUAUCUUCACAUUAGUCUUUACGUUGAUAGCUCCUUCAAGGACCAUUUCAAAUACCCACAUCUCCAUUACCAAGCUAUCAUUGACACCCUGGGUGAAGAAUAAGCAGGGCAAAGCAAAGCACAAGGUCUGUUUCUAUCAACAACGAUGACAAGGGCCAGUCUAGACACCGGCUGGGGUGAGGAGAGUGUGGUGUGUGUGCAUACAGUGUGGUGUGUGUACACAGUGUGGUACCUAUACAGUGUGGUGUGUGCACACAGUGUGGCAUCUACACAGCGUGGUAUCUAUCCAGUGUAGAAUCUACAUAGUGUGGUGUAUCUGCAGAGUGUGGCAUCUACACAUUGUGGUAUGUGCACACAGUGUGGUGUAUCUGUACAGCGUGAUAAAUCUGCACAGUGUGGUAUCUACACUGUGUAGUGUCUAUACAGUGUGGUAUCUGCACUGUGUGGUGUAUUUACACAGUGUGAUAUCUACACAGCAAGCCAAAUAAGAACUAGUUGGGAGUGCUAUCACAGAAAAGGACACAUGCCUUUGUCAAACAGUGCUGACUCUGGGGCCUGGGGAGAUGGCAUGGUGAACGAUAGUGCUUGUUAUGGAAGCCAGAGGACACAGGUACAAUUCCCUAGCACCAGUGCUAAAAGUGUGUGACUGCGUCCAUGUCUGUUACCCCAGUGUUGAGACAGAGACAGGAGGAUUGCUGGGGUUUGCUGGCUUUUCAGCCUAUCGCGAGGUGCACUGAGAUACUGUGUCUCAAGGGAGUAAGGCGACGACAGAAUCCCACAGGAGUCCCACUUCUUCUUCUGGCCUCCGAGUACACUCCUGCACAGCACUUGCGUGUACGCGCCCUGCCCCGCCCAAGGGUAGAGCUAGCUCCGUUGUUUAACUACAAUAUCUCAGAGGAUCCUCUGACCCCUGGACAAGAUGCCCAUUCCCACCCACAGUUUGCAAAUGAAAAAAGCUGGGAACAAGACAGUCUUAGUGACAGUUCACUGUCCCAGAGCUUCAAUUUACCUUCUGUAGAAAACGGAGGUCCUGAACGCCACACCCAUGAAUACCACCACAAAGAUUAAAAUCCAACCAACAAGUGAGUUUACCCUGGACUUUUUUGUUUUGUUUGACACGGGCCUCUUGUAGCCCAAGCUGGCUUUGAUCUCAUGUAGUCCAGGCUGGUCCUGAACGCACUCGUACCUGAGAAUGACGAUGGCAUCCCUGCGUCUAUUUCCCAAGCUCUGGAACUGCAGGCAUGUGGCAACAUGGCUGGUUUAUGCGGUGCUGGAUAUAGAGCCUAAGCUUUGUCCAUGUUAGGCAAAGCCCUGCACCAUCUGAACUACAUCGCUAACCUUUGGGUGCUAUUUUUAAUUAUUAUUUUUUACCAGUUGUAAAGACUAGAAACCAGGAGGAGGAAUUUCAGAACCAUAAUUCUACUGGGUAUCUAGAAGCAACCUGCUUUGCAAGCUAGAGCAAAACCCCUGAGGCAUCCCACAACCAAGGGGGUUGCAUCGAUGCCACAGGGAUUUCCAUCAUCUUUGCAAGCUUUGGCAUGACUUCAAGGUCGAAGAUCGUCUAGCUGACCUCAGAGUAGUCUCGCCGUAGCUUGUCCGUGGUGUGUCGGUGUGCAGGGUAAGUCAGUCACGCUAGGACAAGGAAAUCCAGGCAGGUCUGUGCUUGGGACACAGGUGGGGACCUCUGUUUGUGGGAGACACGCAGGUGGGCAGCCUGGAGGUGAGAUUUAGGUGGAGUACACAGGACCUGGUCUGUCAUUAGCUUUAUGAGAUUCAAGGAGCCGAGGGUACCGACUUGCAUUCUGUUUCCCUCUAGAAUCCGGAGGGAAGAGUCACUGGGGUGUGGUGCUAACCAGGCAGGUGCUGUGAGACUCUGAGGGAAGACAGCAGUGACUCAGAGGGUUCCAGGAGGAUCUAGAAGGUUUGCACAGGCUGGGGCAAGCUCCUCACACGUCUAGCCACAGGCCACACAGCUUCUGUUCCAGAAGCGUCUCCUGCUACCUGCGUUUUUCGUUCGGCCUUGAGGCAAUAGAAAAGCCAGGAUUGACUCUCCCAAUCCACACUUGAUUUGAGGACACACGGGUUGAUUUUAUUAAAUGUACUAUUCGUUCUGUGCUGGGAUCAGGCCCUUUGGGAUAAUUUUGGUACCAGAGCAGACAGAUAAGAAUGCAUGGUAUUUUCUGAUGGGGGCCAUAGAAGAGAUAUGGGGACAGAACUGUAAGGGAAAGAAGAGAACACCACCCCGCUCUGUGUGUGUGUGUGUGUGUGUGUGUGUGUGUGUGUGUGUGUGUCUGUGCAUGCACGCUCUUCUGACAAUAUAGAAUUAGCUCUGUUCCCCAGUCCUGGCUGCACAGCACAAAACCAGGUAUCGUUGAUCUCCUUCCCUCCGACCUUCUAUGCUUCUAUGCUUCUGCAUCCACAGCCUCUUAUUUUUUGCAUGUCUUUCUGUAGCUUGUGUUGUAACUCAAUUCUCUUGCCUGGAUAACGGAAUAGUCCUGGGACAGGCCUGGCCCAAGCGACUCUGCUAAAGUGACACGUGUGUCUCUUCAUCUGACUACCAGAAUAUCGAAACAAUGAACGCCGAAGAUUUCCUCCAGGAAUCUCACCCUGGGAGAAGGAAAAGACAGGAGCUAGAUGGGGAAACUUUGUUUCCCUGCAAGAGAUUUCAAACAAUUCUAAGGACUUGUCAGACCACCUUACAGGACAAGACAGAAACCCAGAAGGUGACGGGACCUUCGUGUUUCCUCGUCUAAAGGGCAGUUAUGAUUCAGAACCAACCGGAAGCAAGAAACAGUGGACUGGCUUUCUUUACUCCUUCCCUGUUUUAUGUGUUUGAAAGUCUAGAUUGGGUGAAGGAAUACACCGUGCACAGUGAGAGCGAGGAGGAAGUGGAUGAAAGUUGGGAGGAGCAUGAGGCUUUCCUCAUGUGAGGGGAGGAAAGUUGGCUGUGGGGUCUGCUGAAGAGGACCUGGCUGGUACCAAGGGAGACUCAUUUUAGGCACCAGGAAUCCAGUCUCAACCAAUAGUCUUGUGCUGGAACCCAACCAAGAGGCGACGGUACUGCCCAUAUGCCCGAGCAGGAAUGUGCUCUCUGCAGAUGUCACAAUGCCUGGGCCCUGAGGACAUUGGCCCUAAGGGGGUUUGCUGGAUGGAGCUCUGUGAUGACUGACAUCUCAGUAGAAAGGGGGCUUUGACUUGAUUUCUGAAGAAUAAGCCAGUGCUUCAUUUCUUUCACGAUGGAGUUGGUGGAGCACGACCAAGCUACAGCUUUGUCUCCCGCGUUAGUCAGACUCCGUUUGGUUCUGAUACAGUAGCACGUUAGUCUUCAAACCUCAGUGACUUACUACCACCAAGACAUUUCUCAGUUACACUGCAUGACUAACCGAAGUCAUUAGGGACUCUGCUCGGUAGAAUGACUCGCAGCCAGUUUGAUGGACACAAAGCACCGUGAGGACACGAACUUCAGGGUCCUCGAGGCAACGAGUAAAACCAUGGGAUUCAGCACUGGCUUCCCAGUACUUUGUCAAGUAGUGACGCUGGCAACUGAGGUGAGUUCACGCCAUUAGUUAGAGCUGGUCACAUGACCCACCUAGUGGCUAGGAAUCUGGCGCUCUCGCAAACACACACACACACACACACACACACACACACACACACACACACACACACACAUUACUGCUGGGCAUAGUAAUGUCUCUGCUAUAGGGUUUCUUUUAACUUAACACCAUCAAUAAUGCACAUUUGAGUAGCACUCAUCUAAGGCAGAGCUUUGGGCCAUUUGGAUAUAUUACCUUCCUCUAGUACCCUCCAGCCCUGAAAGUGAACAGGAUUGUGGUCCACAAGUGGAAGUAGUAGCAGUUUAGUGGAAAAGAAUUGGAAGCUGAGUUUUGACCACAGCCUUUUCCUGUUCUCCCCACCCCCCAACCCCCAGCAGCUUGAGAGAAACUGAUGCCUUGUCAAGAAUUUAAUUUGAUGGGGAUGCAAAUUAGCACAGCCACUGUGAAAAUCAGUACGGCUUCCUCGGGAAACUAAAAAUAGAUCUACCACGUGACGCGGCUAUCCCACUUGGGUAUAUAUCCAACUUAGAACAGAGACCCUGGCACACUGCUCUGUUAGUCCCAAGACUGGAAACCAGUCCAGAUGCUCAUCACCAGAUGGAUGAAGGAAACGGGGUGCAGAUACACACAGGCAUCUGCAAUGGGGUUAAAGAAAAAUGAACUUAUGUCAUUUGCAAGAAUAUUGACUGGAAGGAGACAGCAUCGUGCUAGGAUAUAUAAACCAUACCUUUAUGUGUAGGGUCUAGAUUCAGAAAGUGACAUAAAAGUGGAAGAGGGACUGUUGGUGGAGGAGGAGAUAAGGAAGGGGGACAGGAGGGGAAAAGGACAAAUUGUAUGCUCCCUCUCCUAUGUGGAGUUCAGGUUUAUGUAUUACAUGUGGAGGGGACAGAAGAAGUUAAUGAGUGACUCUGAACACACCAUGCAGUGAUACACCGUAUGAAAGGAACAUAACGAAACCCAAUAUUUUUAUAUGCUAAAACAUUAAUAAGGAAGCUAAUUUGACUUUUUGAUGCCACUUUCCUGCAGCCUGGGAUUUUGGUGUUGGGGAAAUACAGGAGUUUGUCGUCUGUUUGCUGUUCGAAAAGCGAGGAGCACGCCGACAUUCAGUGAGACGAUUACCAAAGUCCCUGUUCCCUGACACAUACUCCUCCCUCCUCCCUCUGUGAUAAGAGCACGUCGCUUCCUCUUCCCAGGAGCUGGAAUCUGGAUGUGUUGCAAUGGGACCUCUUCACUGCCUGGUGAUGACCUUGCCCUGACCCUGAACUCCUUAGGAUAUCAGCAUGGUUACUACUUUCUCCAUUGUAAGGAUUUGGGAGCCAGGAACUAGUGCCACUGCCAGCAACUGGCCUUGUGGCAAACUCCAAGCAAGACACCAGAAUUUGAUCCAGGGAUAUGACCAGUACUGACCCAUUAUCAACACAGAGUACAACAGUUUACACUUCCAUGGAAAUAAAUCUGCCUCCCUAAUGUCUGAGCUUCCAUGAGGAGAACUGAUGCCCGAGAGCACUGGGCAGCAUGCCUCCUGAAUGCAUGUUCAUCUCGUCUUUGGUUCUAGGACCUGGCUGAGCAUGAGAUGGAGUUAAACUCAGUGUAAAACUUCAGUUCUACAGUUGGAAAUGCCGGACCUGAAACCCAGCCCUUCCCCCUCUCCUCCCUCUCUCUCUCUCUCUCUCUCUCUCUCUCUCUC